AAACUCGGGGUAUGUGAAAUAUAUCAAAAUAAGGGUAUUUGAAAUUCAAGUUUGAAAAUCACCUUUGUUUUUGUUGUUGCUGUUGCUUCUUCUUUUCCGCUUUUCGAAUUGUAUGGAUGAGCUUGGAAUUCUUUUUUUUUUCCAACAAGCAUGUGUUGUGGAUGCUCCAGAAUAAAGCUGAAGAUAUAAAAUGAGGGUUUUUGAAACUACAAGAUUUUGAUGAAAACGAUUCUCAAAAGAUCCUAUUUUUGUUGAUCGAUGAUAGCUUGGAAAAUGAAGAUGGAUGAUAGUAAAGAUACAUUAAAAAGAUGGAACCGAUUAUACUUUAGGAGGAAGUAGAUAUGGAUUAUCAUGAUAUAGACUACAUAAGAGAUGUCUCACAUCUUUCCUCCUUUUUCUGUCCAUGCUUUCUCUCUAUUCAUUUUCCACUUUUUCAUUAUUUCUACGGCGGGUUUUAUGAUAAAGAAUCCAUGCCUAAGUUACAUAACUUGAUCACAGAAAAUUGACACUUUUUUAUAUUUGACUGCUCACUUUAUGACUUAAAUUGAACAAGAGGUAUUGGGGUGAACACGAUGAGGAAAAUGUUUUCUAAUUGUUAUAAUGUGUUAGGGAAUUAGAAAUGGGAAGCCGAAGUUGCGUUUGAGUUGUCAAAGCUUCAGAUGCAUGAGAUUUGAUGCAAAAGAAGUGGAAGAUAGAUAUAUAGUUGCGGUUGAUAUCAAUAAGCACAUUAAAUUGAUAAUACUAUAGAUUUUUGAAAAGGUUCCCUCAAUUAGUUAAAUGUUUGUGUUUUUAAUAUCUGAUGAUUGACUCUGCUUGGUAUCUUGACUUCAUUCUUAAAAUCUCUACCCAUGGUACUUAUUUUAGAAAUCAAAUUACAGGUGCAAUAUAAAUAAGGUCUGGUGCGUUGGUUAAUGGGUCGAUGGAUGAGGAAGGAUGGAUCUCGACUAUAUAUCAAUGAAGAGAUUCAAGAACCUAAUGACCCCAAAGGAGAGCUCAUGGAUAGUGUCGUACUUGGUACAAUUUUGAUACUUGAAGAAGACUUGACAAAGUCUUAUAUAUCGUGUCGAAUGUAUAAUAAGAAAGUAUUUAGAACUAAAUCAGAGUAUUUCGAAGUUGCAUGAGAGGAGGAGGUAAUUACGAAUAUUAUUUGGAAGAUUUGGAAUGAAGUCAUACCACACAUACCACCUUGAGGUUACAGUGGCAGGAAACAACAUAGUGGGUGUCAUUUUGCUCCCGGAUUUGCCUCACUUAUCUCAUCUUGGUGCAGGGCCCGACAAAGCUUUGAGAUGCUGAGGAUCGGCUGCAAUUUUAAGUGCCAAGUAGUAAUCGCUAUUUCAAGAAAUUGAGGUGUUAAUAAAUCAUCCAUGGACCAUGGUACUUUGUGAAGGAAGUCGGAAGAAAUGCAAGUUGCAAUAAGUUGGCACGUUUCAUUGGAAGGCUUGGACUGCCAUUUUAUCGUACAAGUGGUGACGAAUCUAUUUUGUAUGACCAUGAGUUUUAGAGGCAAGUUGGUUCAGCCUACUCAGUUAGUAAUUGACCUUGAAGUGUCAUAAUGCGCUAUCUUUAGCUCUGCAUAUUUUGUAUAAACUUUGUGUAUUUGUGCUUUAUUACAAGUUAAUGGAUUAACUGAGGAUUGUAACAACCGUCCCAGAAAUGUUUUAUUUAAGUCCUUGAAAA